UGUGGGAGCGAGCUUGCUCGCGAUAGCGUGUGCUCAGGCGCAUUAAUGCUGGCUGAUCCGCCGCUAUCGCGAGCAAGCUCGCUCCCACA
rnacentral:misc_RNA from 1 species